CAUAUGUUUGCCACGACAUCUUCUUCUGCUUCUUCUUCAAAUUCAGAGAUUUGAUGAAGCUUUUUUCUAGUUUCUGCGCUGUGCAAUGUGAGUAUGGAUUGUGCUCAGCUGAGAGAACGAGAGGUGCGUUCUUAUCUGCGAAGCCAGCAGACUGAUAUUGCNCGCGUUAAAACGACGAGACGCGGUCGACAAACGGUGUUGUCUUUAGGGUGCGUUUGGUACG
rnacentral:misc_RNA from 1 species